rnacentral:rRNA from 1 species
GAUGAACGCUGGCGGCGUGCCUAAUACAUGCAAGUCGAGCGAAUGGAUUGAGAGCUUGCUCUUAUGAAGUUAGCGGCGGACGGGUGAGUAACACGUGGGUAACCUGCCCAUAAGACUGGGAUAACUCCGGGAAACCGGGGCUAAUACCGGAUAACAUUUUGAACCGCAUGGUUCGAAAUUGAAAGGCGGCUUCGGCUGUCACUUAUGGAUGGACCCGCGUCGCAUUAGCUAGUUGGUGAGGUAACGGCUCACCAAGGCAACGAUGCGUAGCCGACCUGAGAGGGUGAUCGGCCACACUGGGACUGAGACACGGCCCAGACUCCUACGGGAGGCAGCAGUAGGGAAUCUUCCGCAAUGGACGAAAGUCUGACGGAGCGACGCCGCGUGAGUGAUGAAAGCUUUCGGGUCGUAAAACUCUGUUGUUAGGGAAGAACAAGUGCUAGUUGAAUAAGCUGGCACCUUGACGGUACCUAACCAGAAAGCCACGGCUAACUACGUGCCAGCCGCCGCAGUAA